GAUGAACGCUGGCGGCGUGCUUAACACAUGCAAGUCGAACGUGAAGCGUGUUUUGAAUACUUCGGUAGGAUAAAUGUGUGGAAAGUGGCGAACGGGUGAGUAACACGUAGGUGACCUGCCUCGUAGUGGGGGACAACCGGUGGAAACGCCGGCUAAUACCGCAUGGUUCUGUCGGUCUGGGAAGGCCGAUAGAUAAAGCUGUGGCUUCGGUUGCGGCGCUAUGAGAGGGGCCUGCGUUCGAUUAGCUAGUUGGUGGGGUAAAGGCCCACCAAGGCGACGAUCGAUAGCUGGUCUGAGAGGACGAUCAGCCACAUGGGAACUGAGACACGGUCCCAACUCCUACGGGGGGCAGCAGUGAGGAAUAUUGCACAAUGGGGGAAACCCUGAUGCAGCAACGCCGCGUGAAGGAUGAAGGUUCUUGGAUCGUAAACUUCUUUUCUGAGGGAAGAGAAAGGACGGUACCUCAGGAAUAAGUCACGGCUAACUACG
rnacentral:rRNA from 1 species